UGUAAGCGUAUACCAAAGUUGUUGCAGUUAAAACGCUCGUAGUCGGAAUUUGGCAGUUCCGGAUGUGUGCACGUCGUGUGCGCACUUCGCGGGGAUUGCUUUUGUGGUCUUGCGUAGGAUGAGGCACUUUUAUUAGUGAACGUCCUCACGCAACCACUUUUUACUGUGAGAAAAUCAGAGUGCUCAAAGCAGGCAUUUGCCGUGAAUGUAUUGGCAUGGAAUAAUAGAAUAGGACUUGGUUCUAUUUUGUUGGUUUGUUGGGACUGAGUAAUGAUUAAGAGGGACAGUUGGGGGCAUUUGUAUUUCGGUGCUAGAGGUGAAAUUCUUAGAUUACCGAAAGACAAACUGCUGCGAAAGCGUCUGCCAAGGAUGUUUUCAUUGA
rnacentral:rRNA from 1 species